AUUGAACGCAGGCGGCAUGCCUUACACAUGCAAGUCGAACGGUAACAGGCCGCAAGGUGCUGACGAGUGGCGAACGGGUGAGUAAUGCAUCGGAACGUGCCCAGUCGUGGGGGAUAACUGCUCGAAAGAGCAGCUAAUACCGCAUACGACCUGAGGGUGAAAGCGGGGGACCGUAAGGCCUCGCGCGAUUGGAGCGGCCGAUGUCAGAUUAGCUAGUUGGUGGGGUAAAGGCCUACCAAGGCAACGAUCUGUAGUUGGUCUGAGAGGACGAUCCGCCACACUGGGACUGAGACACGGCCCAGACUCCUACGGGAGGCAGCAGUGGGGAAUAUUGGACAAUGGGGGGAGCCCUGAUCCAGCCAUGCCGCGUGUGUGAAGAAGGCCUUAUGGUUGUAAAGCACUUUAAGCGAGGAGGAGGCUCUUUUGGUUAAUACCCAGAAUGAGUGGACGUUACUCGCAGAAUAAGCACCGGCUAACUCUGUGCCAGCCGCCGCCGUAACAC
rnacentral:rRNA from 1 species